UGCAUAGAAUUUUUAUUGAUAGUGCAUAUUAUUACUAUUUAUAGAUUAUUAAUAGUGUCAUUUGAUUAAUAAGUGUUUGUUUAAUCAUCUAUUAAACAUUGUUAUAUAAAAAUUGAGUAAUUUUUCUAACCUUUUUCGUCGUGCUGCGUUGUUGUUCGUCUUUGGCAAUUAAAAUUACUGGUUAUCGUUCGAUUACCGGCGUAAUUUUGCGACGUAAUAAUUUUGCACACACUGACACGUACACACACAUCUCACACAUGCGCACACGAUGAAAGAUGAUUCGACGACACAGAAUAUGGUUAACAAAGAAUUGCUAGGAUGUCUUUUUAAAAAGAAAGAUGGGAAAAAGAGAUUCUUAUAUGGAUGCCAUAAUGAACAUUUAUACAAUUAUUAAUCUGAUGGUGGAUAUUGUGGUAACAUUUUAUUUGUAUUAUUAUUAUUAUAUUAGUUUUACUAUUUAUAUUUGUUAAGUAAUUCAUAAUUUGUCAAUACACUAAUAAAAUAAAGAUAGAACAGAUUAAAUGAAUUAUAUUCUUAAUGUUAAAUGUUAAAUUAUUUUUUUAUUCCAAAUAGAUUCUUAAUGAGAUAUUUUUUUUGAAAAAUUUUGUAAAAAUUUAACAUUAUUUUUUUUAAACAAAUGCUUGAUAGAAAAGAAAGGAAAAUAUUAAAACAAUAUUUUCCUUUUUUCCCCCAUCCCAACUUUAUUUUCAGAAAAUUUGUAUGAUCGCGCGCAAUGCGGUCGAUAGAGUCAGUGUUUGCUUCGAAUAGUAAUUUCAUUGUUCUUUAGAGCACGAUUGCUCUAACUUAAUUUAAUUGUAAUAUAUUCGUGAAUGUAGAGUCAGUGUUUGUUCGCCGAUUGUAAUUCGAACGAACGCGUUAAUAGUCUUUUAUUUUAUUUUUUUUUCUUUUUAAAUAUUCGUUUCGCGUAUAUAUUAAAGUCAGUGUAUCAAGAGCAUAAGGCGAUCAUCCAUCACGCGAAGAGAUCCUGAUAGUCUUAUUGACUUUUUCUGGGCUUCAACCUCCAAAAAUUUGUGACCGCGCGCAAUGCGGUUAUAGAGUCAGUGUUUGUUACGUAAUAGUAUUUUUAUUAUUUUUUUAGAGCGCAAAAGCUCUAAUUAAAUUUAAUUAUUAUAUUUACACUCGCGAAAAUAAAAUCAGUGUUUGUUCGCCGAUUGAAAAUUAAACGAACGUGCUAUAGUCUUUUAUUUUAUUUUUUUAUGUUUUAAAUAUUCGUUUCGCGUAUAUGUUAGAGUCAGUGCAUCAAGAGAAUAAGGCGAUCAUCCAUCACGCGAAGAGUUUCCACUUCCUUUUACUUGAUGAGAUGACUUCCUAUGGCAAUGCAGAUUCUUCGCAUCUAUGGUGAGUCGCAUGCAUUUUGAUUCCUCCGGUCACUCAAUCAUGUCGUAGGAUGAAAGAUCCGAAUCGACACGGGUGAUUGGUUGUAUACGUAGAAUUUUGCACGAGCACAGUGACCACGGGUAUUUAUUAUACCCGUGAGUAAUAACAUUUUUUUAUUUAUUAGCUUAGGCUAGGUCUUCUUGUACAACGCGCUUCUAAAUAUUAAUGAUUUUCCAAGUUAAUUAUAUAAAGUUCAAUUUAAUAUGGAUAUUUGCAAAAGUCAAAUAUCUAAAUGCAUGUAUUCGUGUAUAAAUUAGUCACGAAUAUUCGAAUAAGUAAUCUUUUCUUUUAUAUUAAAUGAUCGACUUGCUUGAUCUUUUGAAGAUAGUAAAGAUAGUAAAAUUUUAUUUCUUUCGAAAAUAUGUUAAAUUUUACGUACAAGAAGACACUUCGCGACAGGCAGACUUUAAAAUCGAAGCUAUAAAUUUUGAAUAUUUUUUCGAGUUUUCAAAAAUAUGCUUUGAUGGAGGAGUCGCCUGAGGGUAUCUUUAUUAAUAUUUAAAUUUUAAUUAAUUAAUUUAUUGCAUUAUCUCAUUUCUUUAAUAAUAUAUAUAUAUUUUUUGAUUUGCCAUUUCUUUCAUAAAGUAUUAGAAUAUUAAAAAUUUAUUACAAUUUGUUGCAUUGAUAAAAAGUAAAAUAUAGAGUCAUUAAAAUUUAAGAUCAAAUAAGAAUAUAAAAAAUUAAAAUUCAUUAGCCCGUUAGAUAUAAAGUAUUUAUAUUAAUAUAUAUCUUUUUAGCUAGGAUU